rnacentral:rRNA from 1 species
GUAACGGCGAGUGAAGCGGCAACAGCUCAAAUUUGAAAUCUGGCUCUCGGGCCCGAGUUGUAAUUUGUAGAGGAUGCUUUUGGUGAGGUGCCUUCCGAGUUCCCUGGAACGGGACGCCAUAGAGGGUGAGAGCCCCGUCUGGUUGGACACCGAUCCUCUGUAAAGCUCCUUCGACGAGUCGAGUAGUUUGGGAAUGCUGCUCUAAAUGGGAGGUAUAUGUCUUCUAAAGCUAAAUACCGGCCAGAGACCGAUAGCGCACAAGUAGAGUGAUCGAAAGAUGAAAAGAACUUUGAAAAGAGAGUUAAACAGUACGUGAAAUUGUUGAAAGGGAAGCGCUUGUGACCAGACUUGGGCUUGGUUGAUCAUCCGGGGUUCUCCCCGGUGCACUCUUCCGGCCCAGGCCAGCAUCAGUUCGCCCUGGGGGACAAAGGCUUCGGGAAUGUGGCUCUCUCCGGGGAGUGUUAUAGCCCGUUGCGUAAUACCCUGUGGCGGACUGAGGUUCGCGCAUUCGCAAGGAUGCUGGCGUAAUGGUCAUCAGUGACCCGUCUUGAAACACGGACCAAGGAGUCGUCUUCGUAUGCGAGUGUUCGGGUGUCAAACCCCUACGCGAAAUGAAAGUGAACGCAGGUGAGAGCUUCGGCGCAUCAUCGACCGAUCCUGAUGUUAUCGGAUGGAUUUGAGUAAGAGCAUACGGGGCCGGACCCGAAAGAAGGUGAACUAUGCCUGUGUAGGGUGAAGCCAGAGGAAACUCUGGUGGAGGCUCGCAGCGGUUCUGACGUGCAAAUCGAUCGUCAAACAUGGGCAUGGGGGCGAAAGACUAAUCGAACCUUCUAGUAGCUGGUUUCCGCCGAAGUUUCCCUCAGGAUAGCAGUGUUGAACUCAGUUUUAUGAGGUAAAGCGAAUGAUUAGGGACUCGGGGGCGCUAUUUAGCCUUCAUCCAUUCUCAAACUUUAAAUAUGUAAGAAGCCCUUGUUGCUUAAUUGAACGUGGGC